GUCUGUCUAGAAUUCCAAAGGCAAAUGACUCAAGGUAACAGGAAAAAAGAAAAUCCAGUAUCAGGAUAAUCAGAACACCACAGGUUUACAGUUUGUAGAAACUAGAACACGAGCAGCUCUCACUUAAGGUCUGUGAUGGAACUCCAGUGGAGAAAUGGCUGGUACUUUUUCCACCCCUUAAUCAGAUUUUUUUUUAAUUAAAGUAUGUAACCGGUUAUUUUUACUUGAAGUAUUUUGGGGUGGUCUUAACAGGGAAGAGGGUGGGGGAGAAAAUGUUUUUUUCUAAGACUUUCCACAGAUGCUAUAGUACUAUUGACAAACUGAGUUAGAGAAGGAUUGUACUGCUAUGCUGUUGGCACCAAACACCUUCAGGGAUUGGAGCUGCUUUUUUCCUUGGAGUAUUCCCAGUGAAGCUGAAAUAUACAGCACAGUGCAGCUUUGGUUCAUAUUCAGUCAUCUCAGGAGAACUUCAGAAGAGCUUGACUAGGCCAAAUAUUGAAGUUAAGUUUUCAAAUAAUGGAACUUUUUAAGAUGCCUUUUAAAGGGGAGGGGCAAGUUUUGGCAAUUAGUUGGCAGUGGCCUGUUUUGGUUGGGGUUGGGUGGGUUGGGUUUAGGUAAUUGUUUAGUUUAUGAUUUCAGAUAACUCAUGCCAGAGAACUUAAAUACUUAGGAUGGAAAAACUAAAGAAAUCUCACCUCCCAAGUUGGCAAGUAACUCCUGAUCCUCUAGUUUCUUGUUUUACCCCAAUUUUUGAACUGGACAGCUGGGAACUUCAAAGAUUCACUGGAUUUAAAGUGUAGGGCUUGGGAAAGGAAAGUGUUGGAUUGGGGGUUGGUCUAGCCCACUGGGUUGACCAAGAUAAAAACUUGGGGAAUUGUUUAAACACUAAAGUUGUUUGGAUAUGGUAGUGUGUGGUUCUCUUUUGGAAUUUUUUUCAGGUGAUUUAAUAAAACUUAAUACUACUAUAGGAGCUUCAGAGCAAAGGAAGUGGCUUAAUGAUCCUGAAGGGAUUUCUUCUGAUGGUAGCUUUUAUAUUAUCAAGUUUCUCAUUAUCAGAAGAGUUGCUUCAUAUCAUCUGGGAGCAGAAAACAGCAGGCAGCUGUUCACAGAUAAGUUUAACUUGCAUCUGCAGUAUUGCAUGUUAGGGAUAAGUGCUAUGUUUAAUAAGAGCUGUGGAGGUCCUAGGUCCCUUACUCAAGGGAUCUCAGGAUUUUGAGGAAUUUUCCCAUCCAGCCUUUUAAAAUGAGACAGGCCUUAUGCCUGUGGGCUUCCAUGAUGGGCUAACUCACUUCACUCGAGGCAAGUAAUUCCUUAAAGCCUCUUGAGAUUAAUACCUUAAUAAUCAAGGAUAAUGUUGAUAAAAUAAAAAUUUGUUUAGCAUUGAUUCUUGAAAACCCUAUGAAAAGAUAGCAUAAUGUGCUGUUAACCAGAAUCAGAUAUGUUAACCUUGCUAAAAUUUAAAUGUUAUGUGUAUUGUGCAGAAAACCGUAAAAUCACUCAAAAUAAAAUACUUUAUUUAGCGAAUGUAUGCUUUUAGAAAGCUGUCUCCUUAUUUAAAUAAAAUAUUGUUUGUCUGUAGUUAGUGUUGGGCAAUCUUGGGGGGAUUCUUCUCAUCUUUCAGAGACUUUGUCUGCGAACACUCUGUAAUGGACAAGAUCAGGAAUUGAGCUGAAGAACGAAUUUAACUUAAGGCAGGAAAGACAAAUUUUAUCCUUCGUAAAAUUGAUGACCAUUUAAUAAUUCCAGGCACAUGGCCAUAGAGACCCUCUAAAUAAAUAAGGAAUAAAUACUUAUUAGGCAGGUGGGAGAUUAUGAUCAGAAGAACAGGUAACUACACCUACGCAUUUUUCAGAAAGUCAGGAGUCGAAAUUGACAGUACUGAAGUAUAAUGCGGUCCACAUUUCCAAAGUUUGCAUGUUAAAUUGAAAUGCUUACCAUCUCAUCUAGUGUUAGCCAAUGCUUUACACUUAUUAGCCUUUUAUAUAGACACUUGGUGGGGGGCAUGUGGGUUUUUUAAAGAACUUUCCUUUGCAGAGGCUUCGUUUCAUCCUUCAUGAGGCUGUUCAGGAUUUUGACUUGCAUAUAAACGCUUGGCUCUGCCUUCUGUUCUCCUAGUGGGUGUGUGAGACCUUGCAGUGAGUUUUCAGCAUACUCAAGUAAAAAUUUUUUUCCCCCUGAUUUUGGAGGGAAGGGAGGAGAGGGUGGGGCUUACUUGUUUUUAGCUUUUUUUUUGCAGACUACACAGAAUGCAGUUGUCUUGACCUCAGGUCUGUCUGUUCUGUUGGCAAGUAAUAAUGCAGUACUGUUCUGACCUGCUGCUAUUAGAAUGCAUUGUGAAACGACUGGAGUAUGAUUAAAAGUUAUGUUUCCCCCAAUGCUUGGAGUAGUGAUUGUUGAAGGAAAAUCCACUGAGUGAUAAAAGGCUGAGUGUUGAGGAAAUUUCUGCAGCUUUAAGCAUUCAUGUUUGUGAUUGAAGCAGUCCUUUUUGCUGUGCUUUAGGUAAAAUGCUUUUUGUUCACUUCUGGUAGGGGGGGUGGGGAGGGCACUGAAGCCUUUAGUCUUUUCCAGAUGCAACUUUAAAAUCAGUGACAAGAAAUAAGUUCCAAACGAACAACAGACUUCAAGAAGUUUAACUGGCAAGUGGAAACGUUUUAACAUCAGUUCAGUGGUCUUAGUGCAUUGUGUGUGCAGGUUUCUCUCUUCCCUCCCUUGGUCUCAAUUCUUAUACACAGGAACAUUCAGAACAACAGAUGAAGGGCCAGAGAAGCCAGACCCAGUAAGGAAAAAAAAAUAGUUCAUUUGCUUUUAAUAAACAAACCAAACAUUCCAUUUAAAUGUGGGGAUUGGGAACCACUAGUUCUUUCAGAUGGUACUCUUCAGACUAGAAGGAGCUUCCAGUUGAAUUCACCAGGGGACAAAAUGAGGACAACAGGUGAACAAGCUUUUUCUACGUUUACAUACCAAGUCAGAUCUGUUCCGGGUAAAUUAGUGUCAAAUGGCCUUUCAUUUCAGCUUUAUGCUGGAAUAAACAGCAUGAGCAAGUUUGUUGGCCUGGGGGUGGAGGGGUGAGGUGGGCGCUAAGCCUUUUUUUAAGAUUUUUCAGGUACCCCUCAAUAAAGGCACCCGAAGGCUUAAAGUAGGACAACCCUGGCGCCUUCCUGUGGCAAGAGAGACAACAAAGCGCUAUUAAACUAAGGUCAAUCUAAGUGGUGUCAGCCUCACAACCCCACCUUCGGUUAGACAUGAGGACUUGCCUCAACUGCCUCUGGGGAGUGAAGCAUCCAAAGGAAUGCCUGCGUACCUUGCGUACCCCCGGCCUGUGUAACGCCUCCCUGGGCUGUUUUUAGAGCAGCCCUUGAUGAAGCCCAGACCUGAGUGGUGCUUGAAGGGGAGGGAAAGGGGGAAAGCGGGCAACCACUUCUCCCUAGCUUUUCCAGAAACCUGUUAAAAAGCAAGGUCUCCCCACAAGUGACUUCUCUGCCACAUCGUCACCCCCUGCCUUUGGCCUAGCGCAGACCCUUCACCCCUCACCUCGAUGCUGUCGGUAGCUUGGAUCCUUGUGGGCAUGAUCCAUAAGCAGUUUAAGGUAACUGGUGCCGAGGUCUUGGGUGGGUUGCACUGUUAGAAAAGACCGUUAAUUUGCCUGUAAACGUUUAAUGACAUUAAGACCACAACUAAAAAGCUCUCAGAUGUUUUAAAUGUGUAGCAUUAUUUCUGUCCAGUGCUGAAAACAAACUUGAACCAGUAAAUGGAGAAAUAACAUGUAAGAACUAUACUGUUGGGUGGGAAAGUAUAGCAAACUGAAGGAGAUAGGCAUUUUAGCAGUUGAGGGCUGUUGGGUGGGAAUGCAAAAACUCUCUGCUAAGACUUUUUCAGGUGAACAUAACAGACUUGGCCAAGCUAGCAUCUUAGCUGAAGCAGAUUCUCCAGUGCUCUUCAGUAGGGUCUUAAAAUUUAAAGGUUUUUCUUUUCCUGAGAAAACAAAAUACUUUGUUUUCUCAGGUUUUGCUUUUUGGCCUUUACCUAGCUUUAAAAAAAAAAGCAAAAGAUGCUGGUGGUUGGCACUCCUGGCUUCCAGGACAGGGUUCAAAUCCCUGCGGCGUCUUUGCUUGACUUUUACUUCUGCCUUUCCGUUUUCCUCCUUUUUCUUCAGAUGAAGUUAGGGGAAGUGGAAGUAGCUUCAAACUAUACUAUACCUCUUGAUUGAAUUUGUCCUAAACUGGUUUGUGUUUGUAUUUUCACAGGAAUCUAGUGUAAUUACUUUGCCCUUUUAAUUUUCAGGUAUCUCUCAUGCAUCUGUUGUUUGGAGCAGUCUCACUAUUUUUAAAAAUAGAUGACAUAUUAAUAAAGGUUGAAAAACUUCAUUGGUGUGAUUCUUUUGUGCAUAAGCUGAACUUCUCUAUCCAUGAGUAGUCAGAAGAUGGGUGUCUUGUGGGGGUUCUUGUUCCUGUUUUAACUAGUUGUCUAAAAAGCACACUGCACUGUCAAGCCACCAAAUUUCUAGGGGGGCAGGGGACCCCUCUGGAGGGGGAGGUGGUCUAGUGGGUGAGUGACCCGAAAGACCCAGUAACAUACCCACAGAAAUAAGAAGGGACACUUUAAAGCAGCAGUUGGCCGUGAGUGUGGCUGGAUCUGGAGAGCUGGAGACCACGUGGUCUGGUAGGUUGUCGAUUCCCAAGCUGUAAAGUGAUCUUGUGGUCACCUGUCCUGUGGAAUGGCCAGUGUUCCGGCAGAUAGACCUUCAUUUGCAACUGAAGUGCCCUUUUUAAGUCCUACCCAUCUUUUAAGUCCUUGCUUCUCAAGCCCUGUUCCCUGAAAAGGAGAGC
rnacentral:lncRNA from 1 species